rnacentral:tRNA from 1 species
GCCCUAUAAAUCUAUGUAAGAAAACCAAUCUUGUAAAUUGGUAAAUAAGGUUAAAAUCCUUAAUAAGGCU